rnacentral:rRNA from 1 species
UGGGGAAUAUUGGACAAUGGGCGAAAGCCUGAUCCAGCCAUGCCGCGUGUGUGAAGAAGGUCUUCGGAUUGUAAAGCACUUUAAGUUGGGAGGAAGGGCAGUAAGUUAAUACCUUGCUGUUUUGACGUUACCGACAGAAUAAGCACCGGCUAACUCUGUGCCAGCAGCCGCGGUAAUACAGAGGGUGCAAGCGUUAAUCGGAAUUACUGGGCGUAAAGCGCGCGUAGGUGGUAUGUUAAGUUGGAUGUGAAAGCCCCGGGCUCAACCUGGGAACUGCAUCCAAAACUGGCAGGCUAGAGUACGGUAGAGGGUGGUGGAAUUUCCUGUGUAGCGGUGAAAUGCGUAGAUAUAGGAAGGAACACCAGUGGCGAAGGCGACCACCUGGACUGAUACUGACACUGAGGUGCGAAAGCGUGGGGAGCAAACA